rnacentral:lncRNA from 12 species
CCCCGCGGGGGAUGGGCCCCAGGGGUGCCUUGGGGCUUGGGGCCCGGCGGGGAGGGUGGCAGUCGGGGGCGGGAGGCCGCUCCCCCGGGCCGGGCCGCGCUGCUCGCGUUCUCACCUCUUCCGGGCUCCCCGAGCAGGUGCUAGGCCCAGAGGCCUUCAGUCUUGAACCCACAGAACACUUUUAUGUGAAACCCUGUGGCAGACAAACCAGUACUAUGACAAGAGCCAACAUGACUGAAGAGCCCAUAGGAGCAGAGAUUGGGCCCAAUUUCCUGCCCCAAAGGAGAUGUCUCCCAGAAGGAAGUAGAAGGCUCAAGCCAGGAGAAGACACAGGACUGAUUCAAGGCUGUGGGCGAACCCCAUAUUCCUUCAGAACACGGUUGGCCAGAAUCUCGGGCGUCCCUGUCGAACAUAUGGAGAGAAAAUCGCUCCUCUCGCUGCUAUACCAGUUCUUUAAAAUGUCUUCCCAGAAGAUAAUCCGUAGCCAUUAUGCAAAUGUGUGGACAAGGCGCUGCAGGGAGGCUGGACUCCUUCUGGAUUAUAUCUGCAAACCUUAGGAUGCUGUCCUUAUCUACCCUGUCCAAAAUGGAGCAACAGCACAUCCACACUCGGGCCUGCAGGAAAAGAGAAAUAGAAAACAAACCCAUUUCCUUUCAGGAACAUGACCUGGAAGUUUCACACAUCACUGCUGCUGAUAUUCUGUGAGCCAGAAUCUGCUUGCCCUAUAGCACCUCGCUGCCAGGAAGGCUGGCCAUGUGCCCAGCUGAACCUUCCAUCACUCUAGUACUGAGAAGGACAACUGAUACUCAGCCCCACUGUCCAACUAAUAUUCCUUCUUUCACUAAUAUCCCCAGUCCCUCUGCUGUCAUCAACACAGUGGUUUCAUGCCCUCCCUUUGAGCCUUUACUCAUGCUCUUCCCUAACAUGGAAGGUUCUACUUCUCCAUGCCCAUAUUGCCUUCACUGCCCCCUCAGGCCUCAUCUCUCCCUUCCUGACAACCGUAGCCCUCCGUGACUUCCCAAGGCAUUCCUUGACUUUAUGUUUUCAUUGUAUAUGAUGUUCCUGUAGCUAAGGCUUAAUUUCAGAAUUAAACAGUACAUUUCUUUUUUUUUAACAGAUUUUUUAUAAGAUUUUAUUUUUUAUUCAUGAGAGACAGAGAGAGAGAGAGGCAGAGGGAGAAGCAGGCUCCAUGCAGGGAGACCGACGUGGGACUUGAUCCCGGGUCUCCAGGAUCACGCCCUGGGCCGAAGGUGGUGCUAAACUGCUGAGCCACCCAGGCUGCCUUAAACAGUACAUUUCUUGAGAACAGAGUCCUUAUCAUAUGUUUUUCCUUUAUCAUAUAUAUUUUCCUCCGUGAUCUCUAGCUCAGUGCUGAGCACACAUAUGUAUUCAAUAAAGAUGCUCUGAAAUGAAUUACA